GAUGAACGCUGGCGGCGUGCUUAACACAUGCAAGUCGAGCGAUGAAGUUUCCUUCGGGAAAUGGAUUAGCGGCGGACGGGUGAGUAACACGUGGGUAACCUGCCUCAUAGAGUGGAAUAGCCUUCCGAAAGGAAGAUUAAUACCGCAUAAUGUUGAAAGAUGGCAUCAUCAUUCAACCAAAGGAGCAAUCCGGUAUGAGAUGGACCCGCGUCUGAUUAGCUAGUUGGUGGGGUAACGGCUCACCAAGGCGACGAUCAGUAGCCGACCUGAGAGGGUGACCGGCCACAUUGGGACUGAGACACGGCCCAA
rnacentral:rRNA from 1 species